ACGGGUGAGUAACGCGUGGGAACGUACCUUUUGGUUCGGAACAACUGAGGGAAACUUCAGCUAAUACCGGAUAAGCCCUUACGGGGAAAGAUUUAUCGCCGAAAGAUCGGCCCGCGUCUGAUUAGCUAGUUGGUGAGGUAAUGGCUCACCAAGGCGACGAUCAGUAGCUGGUCUGAGAGGAUGAUCAGCCACAUUGGGACUGAGACACGGCCCGAACUCCUACGGGAGGCAGCAGUGGGGAAUAUUGGACAAUGGGCGAAAGCCUGAUCCAGCCAUGCCGCGUGAGUGAUGAAGGCCCUAGGGUUGUAAAGCUCUUUUGUGCGGGAAGAUAAUGACGGUACCGCAAGAAUAAGCCCCGGCUAACUUCGUGCCAGCAGCCGCGGUAAUACGAAGGGGGCUAGCGUUGCUCGGAAUCACUGGGCGUAAAGGGUGCGUAGGCGGGUUCUUAAGUCAGAGGUGAAAUCCUGGAGCUCAACUCCAGAACUGCCUUUGAUACUGAGAGUCUUGAGUAUGACUGAGGUGAGUGGAACUGCGAGUGUAGAGGUGAAAUUCGUAGA
rnacentral:rRNA from 1 species